GUGCCAGCAGCCGCGGUAAGACGAACCGUGCGAACGUUAUUCGGAAUCACUGGGCUUAAAGCGCGUGUAGGCGGAUGAGCACGUCUGUCGCUGAAAUCCCCCGGCUCAACCGGGGAACGGGCGCGGAUACGGCUUGUCUGGAGGGGCGUAGGGGGACCUGGAACUUCCGGUGGAGCGGUGAAAUGCGUUGAGAUCGGAAGGAACGCCCGUGGCGAAAGCGAGGUCCUGGACGCCUACUGACGCUGAGACGCGAAAGCCAGGGGAGCGAACGGGAUUAGAUACCCCGGUAGUCCUGGCCGUAAACGAUGGGCACUGGGUAGGGGGCUCGCCGAUGGGCUCCCUGCCGUAGGGAAACCGUGAAGUGCCCCGCCUGGGGAGUAUGGUCGCAAGGCUGAA
rnacentral:rRNA from 1 species